rnacentral:rRNA from 3 species
AACAAGGAUUCCCCUAGUAACGGCGAGUGAAGCGGGAAGAGCUCAAAUUUUAAAUCUGGCGUUCUCCGGGCGUCCGAGUUGUAAUCUAGAGAAGUGUUUUCCGUGUUGGACCCACCAUAAGUUACCUCGAACGGUACAUCAUAGAGGGUGAGAAUCCCGUGUGUUGGUGGGACGCCCAGUGCUCUGCGAUGCGCUCUCGACGAGUCGAGUUGUUUGGGAAUGCAGCUCAAAAUGGGAGGUAAAUUCCUUCUAAAGCUAAAUACAUUGGGGAUGACCGAUAGCGAACAAGUACCGUGAGGGAAAGAUGAAAAGCACUUUGGAAAGAGAGUUAAACAGUACGUGAAAUUGUUAAAAGGGAAAC